CAGCACUUUGGGAGGCCAAGGCGGGCGGAUCCCAUGAGACCAGGAGUUCAAGACCAGCCUGGGAACAUGGCAAAACCCCGUCUCUACUGAAAAUACAAAAAUGAGCCAGGCGUGUUGCCACGCACCCGUAAUCCUCGCUACCUGGGAGACUGAGGCAUCAGAAUCGCUUGAACCCGGGAGGUGGAGGUUGCAGUGAGCCGAGAUGGUGCCACUGCACUCCAGCCUGGGUGACAGAGUGAGACCCUGUCAAAUAAAUAAAUAAAUAAGUAGUGCAUUUUGCAGUGCAUGUACUGUUACAAUCUAACUGAA
rnacentral:lncRNA from 10 species